UAAGGAGAACCAGAGACGGCACAACCAAGAGGCAUGGAAAGGAGCAGGAACCUUGAAAGGCGCAUCCACCCUUCUUGAAUCCUAACAAUGAAACAAAAACAAACACCAACAGAAAUGCUAAAGCCCAAAGAAAACAACAGUGGACAACAAAAAUACAUAGAAAAAAGCAAAAUAAGCCACCAAACCUAGAAAUCAGAACACUAGCGGCGGAGAUGGUGGGGAUACAUAGACGCGUAAAGGAAAGGUGGAGGCACGCGAGGUGACAUCGGAGAGCGAGGAGGUCAAUGAAAAUGAUGGUGAGGUGCGUUGGCGAGCAGAGCUGAUGGAGGAUGACAAAUCAAGCUUUGAAAAAAGCAAAUCUAAAGUCCUAGGCAAUACCGUGAAAAGGAGGUGACGAAGCAGACCAGAUGGGGCGGUAAGGCGGAGGUGAAGGGUUGAGGUUGAGGUUGUGAUUGUUGCAGGAUCAGAGAUAGAUUGCCGAAGGUGAUGGGUGCAGGUCCCCAAACAUCGGUGUAUACCAACUCUAAAGUUUGAUUAACAUGUGUUGAGGAUAAAAGAAAAGAAAGUUGUUUGCUUUUAGACACGUGACAAGCAGAGUAGCUCAUAGGUGCGUGAUUCUUAACAACAGGUAACUUAAACCUAGAAAGAACUUGAAAACAAACACAAAGUGCGGGAUGUCCAAGUCGUGAAUGACAAUUAUGAAGAGAUGUGUGUUCGCCUAUCAAGGCUAAGGGUGCACAAGAUAUGGGCGACACAGAGGAGCUUGAUUAAUGGCUUGAAGGAGAUGGAGAGGAGCUGCAAUGGGAAGAUGAGGGGUUGGGCGACACGGAGGGUGGGAGCUUGUACAACCCAUUAUCAUUCAGGCCGUGAAGAAGAAUUCUCCUGAGCCCUGUUCCUUUACAAGAAAAAACCAAGGAUGAAAUUCAAUAAGGAAUGAAGUAUUGGGUGAGGAAAGUUUGGUGUUACCAAUGUAUUCAAUAGGUAACCCAUUACCAUUGCCCAUACGAAUUUGAUCACCAUCGGAGUAGGAAUCUGCACUGAAGUUCAGAUUGGCAAGAUUGGAUGUCAAGUGAUGAGUGGCCCUUGAAUCCGGAUACCAGCCUGAUCCAACUAGGCAUGCUGAGAUGCAUAAUAUACCUGUGGAGACCCGUGAGCUGGAGAGUCACGCUGAAACAAGUUGUCGAAGCGAUGGUAGCAAUCUCGGGCAUCAUGACCGGGCUUGUGACAAACUUGGCAGACCUGUCGUGGAGCAUUAGAGGUAGUGGGAAAGCUUCUUCCACUCCCACUGCCUCAGAAAUUUCGUCCAUAUGAGGUGUUUGUGAAAUUGCCCCUUUCAGAUGAGGAGAAAGAAUGACGACCACCAUGGCUUCCACGGGUAGAGCCACGCUUAGCAGCAAAGUUGGCACUCCCAUGUAUGGUAUUUCUAGUCGUGAGAUCAACAAAGGGUUGAUUCUGUUUUAGUCGCUGUUCAUGGGCAAGAAGAUGCGCAUAGAGUUCCUCUACAGAGAGAGGAUUCACCUGAGUAGUCACAGAUGUGACAAAUGAAUCAAAGUCACUGUCGAGCCCACCAAGGAGGAAAGAAGAAGCCUCGAAUGGGUUCAAGGGCUAAUCAACAGCUACAAGGCUGUCCACAAGGGUAGUAAAUUUAUGGAAAUGAUCAGCGAUGGAAGAGUUACAUUUCUUCAAGGUAACUAGUUGGUAAUGAACUUGCAUUGUUCGAGCUCGGGCUUGCAAGAGGAACAUGAGCUCAAAUGCUUCCCAGACGUCCCGAGAGGUGACACAGUGCACCACAUGUGUGAUAAGGUGUUCAUCAAUGGGGGAGAGAAGGGCUCCAAGAAUCAGUUGAUCCUGGCGUUGUCGACAGUAAUGGUCUGCGACGAAGCUGGAGUGGAACCAUCAACAUAUCCGAAAAUGCUGACUCCCUUCAAAUGAGGUAUGAUCUGAGCACGCCAUGCACGAUAAUUGUCUUGCUUCAACUUGUGUUGAAAAUUGUUUUGAAGGCUAUGGAGGAUAGGUGUUGAAGUGGGUGGGACAGUGUAAGAGAUAGGAGGGAACAUUGAAGAUAUGGGAGGAGUGCCGGAUGAAGAAGAAGAUGUAAAGGCCAUAGAUUUAGACGUUAGUCACUAUUGGCUCUGAUACCAUGUGAUAAAAUAUAAACAAUUCAAAUAUGUUUUCUGCCUUACUUAAUCAAGCUUAGGGUGAUUGUAUUUAUAGAGAAAGUGUAACAAGAUUAC